CAACCCUCAAGCUCUGCUUGGUAUUAGGCCUUACCUGCUACAGGCAGGCCGUAAAAUCAGUGGCGGUGCCCUUCGGCUUCAAGCGUAGUAAUUUUUCUCGCUUCGGAGUACCGUUGCGUGCCUGCUAUAAAACCCCAAUUUUAUCAAA
rnacentral:misc_RNA from 1 species